UCAAAUUGCUGUUCCGAGCCGGAGCGUUGGCCGCCAUUACUAAGGAGGGCAGAAAAACGAACGACCCAACAAGAUACUGUGCACAACAUACGUGAACAAUUUGAAGAAGCCAGUUUCGCGCGUUGCAUUUGGUUGUUCGAACCGAAGAAAGAAAGGGAACUGCAUAAUAUUUGACAAAAAUACACCCAAGGGAGGAAAAGGAUGUUACACACCACCCCGUCCUAGUGCUGUGCCUACUGUCUUCCCUGGACAUCCUUCCUGUAAACAGACCCAUGGCUCAAGACUCCCAGCAAAACCAUGUACAACAUCCAAAAGUGUUCCCGUGCCUCCAAAGAAACCCUAUGACAUUACAAAAGAACAUGACUAUUCUUUUCUGUCUGAGUUGAUCAGAAACUGAAGAUAACCAGACAGCAACUGCAGGAUGCCAAUAAACAGCUUCAAGUGGUGAAACAGAAGGUAAACAGGAGAGAUGGAAAAACCAGGACUCUCUUGCAGGACGUCCACGAAAUUACACAAAUUAUUUGCACUCUACAUGUGCUUUGAUUCUGCAGGUUUAGAUAACCUGAGAUAAACAUGUAGACCUUUUUUAUAACAUUGUCUGGAUUGCUCUCAACCAAGUCAUUUGCAUCAUUAACGAUGAAAAGCAAGAAAUUCACAUCAAGUGAGCCACGUUUUCGAUACGGUGAACGAGGAGAAUUCACAGAUGUGUGGCAAUUGAAAAGCUUUGUGUAAUGCACAGUUGCACACCUUAUACACACCCAUAGAUCUUUUUUGUACAUAGGUUUGACUUUUGGCCCAAAAUGGAAAACUGCUUUUGAAGAGAUUUGAUAACAGAACAAUUAUAUGGAAUAAUGUCACUAGAUGUAAACACAUAAGAUUGU